GACGAACGCUGGCGGCGUGCUUAACACAUGCAAGUCGAACGGAAAGGCCCCCACUUCUUUGGUGGGGGUGCUCGAGUGGCGAACGGGUGAGUAACACGUGGGUGAUCUGCCCUGUACUUCGGGAUAAGCUUGGGAAACUGGGUCUAAUACCGGAUAGGACCAUGGUUUAGUGUCUCAUGGUGGACAAAUUAUUGUUUUGGUGCAGGAUGAGCUCGCGGCCUAUCAGCUUGUUGGUGGGGUAAUGGCCUACCAAGGCGUCGACGGGUAGCCGGCCUGAGAGGGUGGACGGCCACAUUGGGACUGAGAUACGGCCCAGACUCCUACGGGAGGCAGCAGUGGUGAAUAUUGCACAAUGGGCGCAAGCCUGAUGCAGCGACGCCGCGUGGGGGAGGACGGCCGUCGGGUGGUAAACUCCUUUCGUUAGGGACGAAGCCGCACUUUUGUUGGGUGUGGUGACGGUACCUUUGUGAAGAAGCACCGGCUAACUACGUG
rnacentral:rRNA from 1 species